CCUCCCGCGAUCCUCCUACUCGUCCACGCGUCUGUACGUACACGCGGCCGAUCAUCACGGUACGUGAAUCGAACGAGAGAAACUUACGCGCGUGAAACACGUACGAGCCGACACACGCUCGGGCCUGGGCAACUUUUACACGCGCAUCGCUCUCGCCUCGUCUCCUUAGAGGGCAGGAGAAGCUCAUUUGCGUACGGAUUGAGAUAGUAGUGCUUCGGUACCACCUCGAUGUGUGUUUUUGUUUAAAUGUGUGACUACGUACGAGAUUCUGAUUGCCGGCCGCUCCCAGCUCGACAGCGGCUCUCAGUCUUUCUUCGAUAUACGAACCGUUCAGACGUCGCGCUGAUCAACUUUGUAAAUUGAAAUUCAUACGACGAUGAUGAUUAGAAACAUCAUUUUUCGAAAGUUCCCCUCGAAUUUGCGAUUAUCGAUGCUUUCCUCUCGUGACAAAUGAAAAUAUAAGAUUUCUCUUUUGAGAUAUUUGCUGCUAAUUAUAUAUUGUAUAUAUACACACCUAGGUAACGCGGAAUCGAUAACUUUUAAUUAGCGGAUUUGGCCAAUUUGGCUUCUGAGAGACUUCUACGUUCGAGUAACCGAUCGACUCUACUUUUUGUAAAUUUCUGCCUGGAUACCCGAUUAGUAUCCAAUUUUCCAGUUUUUGCGAUAUCGUCGCUUUUCUCUACUUUUCAAUUUAUAAGUCAAUAAAUGCUUCUGAUGCGUUUUACUAUGGGAAGCGCCGAUUCCUAAAACGAAUCACGAUCGAUUAAACCAUAUUUCGGUUGCAAAUUUGCAAGCAAAUAAUUAUUCUAAAUUUAAAUUUGAAAUAAUUUUUUGACGUAUCUUCGAGUAGUCGAUCGAUUCGAUUUUUUAGCGGAGUUAGAUAACGAUUCGUUGUCGGUUGAGGACCACUGGACCUAAGAUAGCCGCGACACAUGCUGGAAAUUUGUUCGGCGGGAAUUUACGAGCGAGUUUCCGUGUCAGACGCAAUACCGUGGGUUCCGCUGCUUCUCACCCCGGUGUCGCUGGAUCGACCGACGAUGAGAGAGAAAGAGAAACUAUCACGGGGCCGUGAAAGAAGAAAAAGGGGAUGGGAGAAGAACCAUAAAGCGUCGCAGGACCCUGGUACUGCUUUUCGCUGCUACGGCUAACUACGCAGUCUAUAUAGAUCGAUAUAAUUAAUAGCUCCGGCAUGGAUCGGGUAACAUAUGGCUCGGGACACGUUCGAAGAACGGAGAAGGACAGAAAACUCGGGGACAGCAGCGUGGAGAGAGGAGAAAAGACUCGGGGCACAUCGAACUCUUGGACUGCGCUGCAUUCAAAGGGAUUAGAGGCGAAUAAACGAACACCGCGAGGUGUUCUCGUGCAAGCGAAAAAAAACGACAGCGGCAUGCUAAUUCCUACCUGGUGGCGUCCUCAAGGUCCAAGGAGGAGCCUACCAGUUGAACUCGUUCGCCUGUUCGUCACACUACUUUCGGUGUGAGUUUAAUAUUGACCCAGCGAGAUUAGGUGUGAGCCAGGUUUGGAUUAAACGAAGCGACGGCUUUCUUGAUCAUUCGUGAAGAAGUUAAGGGUUUGGUUUCGUUUAAUGUUUGGAGAAGUUGAGAGAAAAUUUAGGAUAUCUGUGAAGGGUGAGUUUCUUAUGCGAUUAGAUUGUUUUAAGGAGGAUAGCGAUGACGAAGAAGAAUUAGAAGAAGAAAUGGUGACUUGGAUUGUGUAUUCCUUCUUUUAACAUAUGUCAUAGACGAUCAAAUUUUUUGACAGAAUUUUAUUCCUAGUUAUCGGUGUUGUAUUUCUCUAAUUGUGAUUGCAAAUUUCUAGGUUUCGACGAAUCUAAUUUGUCAGAAACAAAGCACGUACAGAGAGCAACCGAACGAGUAUCGAGGAGCCGAACGAGUAUUGAUACGAUAGAACCAACAAAAAAUAUACGACAGAACAGAACGAACAAUUCUUUCUGUUCCAAUUUCCAUCCCUUACUAUUCGAUACAAUAAAUUCAAGCAGCGAUACAGAUACUACGGUAAUAUCCAUUAAAAGUAACCUAAAUAGAUCACACAACCAUAUAUGUAAGUGCACGUGUACUCUCUACAUUCUCAGCAAUAAUUUAUUCAAGAAUAAGGCUUCCGUAAAGAACAUCACUUUGUAUUUCCAACCUAUUUUUCCUCAUAAAUUCGUCCUCUCUCAAGUUGGUAGCAUCAAUUCAAAAACAGCCUGUAUAUCGCAUACGUGGAGUUUCCAUGUGAAUUGCCAUCGAUGGACAAAGAACGAAAGAAAGAUGCCAGUUCAACCCUCUAGUGGAGAUAUCAUUUGCAUUCCCUCGUCGACAAGGCCACGUGGCCACACCGUGCACACGGCCCUUUCCGCACCCUGCGCUCGCGCGAGUAAACGGCGCGCGUUUUGCAUAAUUUCACGAAUCGCGCGUAUAAUCGUUCCCCGCCGGUACAAAACGCAGCGGCAUUUUGUGUCGUACUCGCGCGACCCUGGCCUCUUCCGUAUUAGCAUAAGCUUUUCGAAAUGACGCAGAAAGAGCGACACGUGACCCGUCACGAGCCGGAAGGACCAGGCCCUCGAAAACGAAAGGUUUCAGGCGUCAUGAAUUUCUGAACCAACUCCGUCCUUUUCUUCCUCGUCCCUCGAAUUACCUCCCCACUGUCGAUUGUCGAUGUAUCAAAAUUUUGUCGAGCUAUGAGACAUAUAGGAGGAAGCUGAAGAAGGUUUUCUAAGGGACACGUGGCAGAGAGAGAGAGAAAGAGAGAGAGAGAGAGAGAGAGUCGCCUUGAACUUUUACACGAGCACGAACCACGCUAUUAUUAUGGUAGCAGACGAUACACCGAUGUAAAUGAAUUUUAUAUAUAGGUUCUGAAAGAAUCAGUUGGAGAUUUGAAAUAGGUUGUGUUGCAUUUGUAUGUUGAUAGAGUUGUUCGAGAUGCAGGGAGAUCGAUGAAGUGGCUGAUGGGGUGGUGCGUUGAUUUGAAUAUGCGGAUUUGUCUAUUAGCUAGUGAUUUUUAAAUAAUAGGUGUUUUGCAAAAGCGAUUGGUACUUGUGUAAGUAAAUUUGUUAUGUUUCUUUCUUAUGAAGCUUGUAAUGAAUUCAUGGCUAUAUGGCAUAUAAGCUUUUUAUUAUAAGGUCGGAUGAUUUAAGAAGGAAAUGAUUUAGUGAGAAGAUUUGUAUCUUUGUGAUUGUAAUAACACGCAUGCUUACAUCGAUAGUAACUAUGUAAUUAUGGAUCGAAUAAUCAGAAAUAUUAUAACUGCAACUUUUUGCAAUAUGUUUUAUAGUAACGCAAAUUUCAUAAUGUACAUAAUUUCAUAAUGAGUAGGAAAUAGACAUAAGUACGUCGACAAGAUGUAACUAUCGAUCAAACUUACUCGCAAUUAAAAUGUUGGUCAAAGUUUUAAAUUUAAUCCAGCUACACGUGUAUAACUAUUCUUUUUUUAGCUGUAACUUUCACUAUUCACCUUCGCGAUAACGAUUUAAUUGUCUCUCGCGUAUCCAUAUACGGUAAAGUAGUUAAAAGAAAAUGAAUAUGUAUUGCUUUGGUAUCUGAUAAUUGAUAAUUUAUACGUAAGAAUUCACGAUGAAAUAGAAACUUCUUACAUAAUAAUUGGCGAAAUAAAUGUUAAAAUAAUCAAUCUACGAAA